CUCAGGACUCAGAAGACGAGUAACAAGAUAAACUUGCUGACCAGAAAAGGACCUGAUUGAGACCAUAAUGACUCCUAUUCUGAAGCUCAUACUGGCUUUGGCAACAGUUUUGGGGGUUGUAUUAACCACCAUAAACUCCACCUCCCAUAAGGGACGGAAAAGUGGGAAUGAGAAACAUGUUGACAAUUCUGCACAAAAAAAGGAACAUUACAAAAACGCCGCCAGGAAGGCACUAGACGCCAUUGGUUCUAAUCGCACGCUGUCUACUUCUAACAAGCGAGCGAAACAGGGCCAGCAUGUCUUCAACAAAGGACUCCUUAAGUUUCACAGCAGUGUUCUGGAGGUCCUGCUGAAAGAUGUGAGGGGCUACGAUAAGCUGGAGAACAUGGUGAAGGACCUCACGAUCCCCCUUGGCCAAACUGAACAAAAAGCAAUUAGUACAAUGGUGGCCCACUUCAGGUCAGUGUGUGUGUGUGUGUGUGUUUGUGUGUGUGUGUGUGUGCAGGUGGGAUGAGUGCUACAGUGUGUA